GUAGAAGAGCACACCAUCUCUGCGCCUACCAGUGUUGAGGAGAAAGAGAGAGAGAGAGAGAGAGGAACAAUGUCGAUACCGUUCUCGAGAGUGGCGUGGGGAAGGCCGGAGGAAGCGACGCACCCGGAUACGCUCAAGUGCGCGCUCGCCGAGUUCAUCUCCACCCUCAUCUUCGUCUUCGCCGGCGAGGGUUCCGGCAUGGCCUUCAACAAGUUGACGGACGAUGGGUCGACGACUCCGGCGGGGCUGGUGGCGGCGGCGCUGGCUCACGGGUUCGGUCUGUUCAUUGGCGUGGCGGUGAGCGCCAACAUCUCCGGCGGCCACGUCAACCCCGCCGUGACCUUCGGCGCCUUCAUCGGAGGCAACAUCACGCUUCUCCGCGGCAUAGUGUACUGGAUCGCCCAGCUGCUCGGCUCCACCGUUGCUUGCCUUCUCCUGCGCUUCACCACCGACGGCCUGACGACGCCUGCGUUCUCUCUCUCCGACGUCUCCGUGUGGAACGCGCUCGUGUUCGAGAUCGUGAUGACGUUCGGCCUGGUCUACACGGUGUACGCGACGGCCAUCGACCCAAGGAAGGGCACCCUAGGCACGAUCGCCCCGCUGGCAAUCGGCCUCAUAGUGGGAGCCAACAUCUUCGCCGGAGGCCCCUUCACAGGCGCUGCCAUGAACCCGGCGGUCGCCUUCGGCCCGGCGCUCGUCAGCUGGUCGUGGACCUACCAAUGGAUCUACUGGGUAGGCCCCCUCAUUGGUGCCGCCAUUGCCGCCCUCAUCUUCGAGCACAUCUUCAUCAGCCGCACCCACGAGCCGCUCCCACAAUAGAGAGGACAGCGUCCCUCCGGUGGAGUCCUUUGGUUUCCGUCCGCCCUCGCUCAUCCAUUCCCUUUGCGUCCUUUCUUUCUCUCUAUAUCUUCCCCACCAACUUUCUCAUGGCAUCGGACUCAAGUGCAUUGUUCAGUCCACCUAUUUCGCUGAUCUCCUCUUCUUCUCUCAUCCUUUUGUGAAGCUUCUGAGGUUUUGAGUAAGGACAGGCCUUUAAAUGUGCGCGUGCAAAAGAUGAGAGUAUGUGAAAAGAGGUCGAUGGCAGCCCCGAAUUUGUUGAAGUUAAAAGUGUGAUUAAGGAGUUGUUUGGUAAAUAAAAUAGUUUGUAACUGUGUUAUAAAAUUUGUGGUAGAUUUAUAAAACAUGUUUUAAUGUGUUGCAUGAAUGUACCUCCUUAAAAAAAAAAAAAAGUUACAUAUUGUUCUAUUGA